GUCUCGCAAAGUGGUGACCUUGGAGACACAGGCUUGGGCAAAGUAAACCCUUCUAGGUAGCACAGAGUCUGGCUGAUCGUUCCCUCGGUCAGUCCCUUAUGCUGGUUUUCUC